CACACACAUUCAUUUCUGGGGGUUGGCAUAACAAAGUAUUGCUAGCUGGGUGGCUUAAAACAAGAGGUGCUGAUUGACAACUAGGGAGGCUAGAAGUCUGAAAUCACGGUGUCUCUGGGCUACGUUACCCCUCCAGGGGAAGAUCCUUCCUUGCCUCUUCCUAGCUUCUGGUGGUGGCCAGCAUUCUUUGGUGUUCCUGGCAGCUGUCUGGGUCCAGCGUCUGCCUCCGUUGUCACCAGACAUCCUCCCUGUGUGUCUCUGUGUUCACAUGGCUGUGUUUUUAGGAGGACACCAGUCAUGGCAUGGAAGGUCCACCCUAACCCAGGAUGACGUCAUCUUAACUAAUUACAUUUGCAAAGACCCUAAGGCACAUUCACAGGGUCAUUGUGCAUUUUUGGUGACUAUUGAUUCUCCCCUUCAUUCAACAACUGUACUGAGGCCAGAUCCCAAACUGAGCUCUGACGAGAUGGAGAAGCAAAGGACACGGUUCCUGCCCCCAAGGAGCUCCCAGACAAGCAGGAGAGAAGGCGGCUCCCAGACAAGCAGGAGAGAAGGCAGCUCCCAGCCAAGCAGGAGAGAAGGCCGUGGAAAUGAUCCUUCUGAUACCACAGCCUGCCGAUGUCAUCUAGAACUCUGGGGGACUGGGGGAAAACGAACAGAACCAGAUUAAAAAAA
rnacentral:lncRNA from 1 species